GACGAACGCUGGCGGCGUGCUUAACACAUGCAAGUCGAACGAGAAGAGAUGAGAAGCUUGCUUCUUAUUGAUUCGAGUGGCAAACGGGUGAGUAACGCGUAAGCAACCUGCCCUUCAGAUGGGGACAACAGCUGGAAACGGCUGCUAAUACCGAAUACGUUCUUUUGUCGCAUGGCAGAGAGAAGAAAGGGAGGCUCUUCGGAGCUUUCGCUGAAGGAGGGGCUUGCGUCUGAUUAGCUAGUUGGAGGGGUAAUGGCCUACCAAGGCGACGAUGCAUAGCCGAACUGAGAGGUUAAUCGGCCACACUGGGACUGAGACACGGCCCAGACUCCUACGGGAGACAGCAGUUAGGAAUAUUCGUCAAUGGGGAAACCCUGAACGAGCAAUGCCGCGUGAGUGAUGACGGUCCUAUGGAUUGUAAAAACUCUGUUGUUUGGAAAGAAUGUAUAAGUAGGAAAUGA
rnacentral:rRNA from 1 species